AAAGGACACUAUAGUCACCAGAACUACAGCUUAUUGUAGUUGUUCUGGUGUAUAGAGCCUGUCCCUGCUACUUUUUGGUGUCAACAUUACCUUUUCAGAGAACAGGCAGUGUUUUCAUUACAGCCUAGGAAUACCUCUAGUGUUUACUCCUCAAACAGCCACCAGAGGUGCUUCCUGGGUCACACUGUGCAGCACUGACUUUCAGUGUCUUUACGCUCUGCAUGAAGAUGCUGAACUUUCCC